GACGGGGAGCGGCGGAGGCCGUGCUGGCGGGCACCCGCCCGGAAGUUGACGCGGCGCGAUCCCAGCUGAGAGGAAGCUGAUAGGAUCAAGAAAACACAGGGAGGGUUCAGAGGUGGAGAGUGCGCGGCGGCAUCUCUUUUAAUGAUCACCCAGUCGCCCUCUCUAUUUCUUUAGUACUUACAGUCUCGCAGGCUUCGAUGCAAUGUAACAAAGGUUGAAAGAAAAAAUAAUUCCCGGCGUGGGGGCGACGGUAGCCGAGCCGGGACCUUCCAAAGCAGCACGGAGAGCCCAAACGAGCGCGCGGUGAUGACGCAACACGCAGCUCAGGCUUUUUUUCUUCCCCGGCAACGCGCGAGCGGAAGAUGUCUAGGCGCGCGCUGUUGCCAUGGUAAUUCGUAUCCGCCUCUGCGCUUGGGAAGCUCGUUUAUGGCCUUUCUCCAGCCUACUCCCGCCCCAUUGCUUCAGCACCUCUUGGGUCUAAGGAGCGUUUCUGCUGCAUGUUGGAUCUAAGGAUCUAGAUUCUGGAAGCACUGUUGGCCCUCAGCAGGAAGGACCUGGGUAAAGGUCGCCAGCCCUCUUGGAGCUGUCUGAGCAGAGACUUCAGGGACCAGGAACUGGUAUCCAGAUUCACCAAUCAUGCCAUUACCCACCUGCUGCUGGUUCACCGGUACUCUCUCAUUCUGACCACAAACCCAGAUCAUCACGCCGCCCCCAUCUCAGCAGGAAGUAGCCAGAGACCUGA